UGGGGAAUAUUGGACAAUGGGCGCAAGCCUGAUCCAGCCAUGCCGCGUGAACGAUGAAGGCCUUAGGGUUGUAAAGUUCUUUUGUCAGGGGAGAUAAUGACGGUACCUGAAGAAUAAGCACCGGCUAACUUCGUGCCAGCAGCCGCGGUAAUACGAAGGGUGCUAGCGUUGUUCGGAAUCACUGGGCGUAAAGCGUGCGCAGGCGGUUUGGUAAGACAGAUGUGAAAUCCCCGGGCUUAACCUGGGAACUGCAUUUGUGACUGCCAGACUAGAGUGUAGCAGAGGGGGGUAGAAUUCCACGUGUAGCAGUGAAAUGCGUAGAUAUGUGGAGGAAUACCGAUGGCGAAGGCAGCCCCCUGGGCUAACACUGACGCUCAUGCACGAAAGCGUGGGGAGCAAACAGGAUUAGAUACCCCGGUAGUCCCUGAGCGGGCUGGCAAGGCGCAU
rnacentral:rRNA from 1 species